AACAAACCAAAUAAUAAAUAUUUUUUUUUCUCUCUCAAUCUCAACUGUCAGAUUGUCUGAAAUUGUUUUGAUAGUAAAAUGUUGAUUGUUGCUGGUAAACAUAGUUGAGUUGGAAAAAGUUUUUUAUGAAUAAUACAUACAAUGAAACCUGGUGGAAGACCUCUUCAUGAAAUUUGGACCCAAGGCUUCAAAAGAACCUCCAAAUGUGAUGGGAAAUUCACAGCGAAUUGUCAAUAUUGCUUUAAAGAGUUCUCAAAUACUUCAAGUGAAAGAUUAAUAAACCACAGAGCAAACUGUCAAGCAAUUGAUACACUGGCAUCAUCAUCAAGUGACAAUAAUAACAAAAUCACAUCAACAAAUUCAAAUUCUACAAUAAUUACUGAAGAUUCAGUGUCAAUUUUAAGUUAUGAUUCAGAUGCAUCCGGUGCUAGUUCACCAUCUAUCUCUUCUAGACCAUCUAAAAAAAGAAAACUAUCCAACUUAAGAUCUUUAAAUCAAUACUUUUUGUCUUUGACAGACAGUGACAAAAAAAAGAUUGAUAGAGCUGUCUUGAACUUCUUUGUCAGCUGAAAUAGCAACUGAGUGUUUGAAUAAAGCUUAUGAUCAACUUGAUGAAUCAAGAUUUCUUUUAUCAGCAUCUGAAAGAAUUUUAAUGAUUAGUAACACGACUCAAGAAGAUGAUAUACAUAUUAUAAUUCAUAUAAUAUGUUCAAGUAAAAAACUGUUGUUUCUUGAUCAGUUUAUUAGAAAAAAAAAUGAAUAUGAAUUAAGCAGCAUUGUUGAUCAAGCAAUAUUUGAUGCUCAGAUCAAAACCAAAAUUAAAAUAUAUGCAGUUAUUACUGAAGAUGAAUAUAAAUCAUUAGAUGAUGAUGUAUGGUCACUACGAUGCUGUAAAUCUUUUGCUGCAUCAAUUGAUCAUGAUCUUAUUGAUUCAUGUUUAGAUAUAAUAUUAUGGUUGGAAUAAUUUAUUUAAAAAAAUAUUAAUUUACACAAAAAUAUG